AACGAACGCUGGCGGCAGGCCUAACACAUGCAAGUCGAACGAGAAGCCACCUUCGGGUGGUGGACAGUGGCAGACGGGUGAGUAACGCGUGGGAACGUGCCUUUCGGUUCGGGAUAACCCAGGGAAACUUGGGCUAAUACCGGAUACGCCCUUCGGGGGAAAGUUUAAUUGCCGAAAGAUCGGCCCGCGUCGGAUUAGCUAGUUGGUGGGGUAAAGCCUACCAAGGCGACGAACCGUAGCUGGACUGAGAGGAUGACCAGCCACACUGGGACUGAGACACGGCCCAGACUCCUACGGGAGGCAGCAGUGGGUAAUAUUGGACAAUGGGCGCAAGCCUGAUCCAGCCAUGCCGCGUGGGUGAAGAAGGCCUUAGGGUUGUAAACCCCUUUCAGCGGGGAAGAUAAUGACGGUACCCGCGGAAGAAGUCCCGGCUAACUCCGUGCCAGCAGCCGCCGUAA
rnacentral:rRNA from 1 species